AGACAGUGUAAUAAAGCAUCAAUACGCAUUCAUACCAUACUAAAAAGAAUCUUCUUAUAGAAAUAGAACAAAAAAUCAAGAGCUUCGAGCCAAUAAAGACUAAGAAGAUUGACUCAAGAACCAAUUUGAUUCUGAGCUCCAUUGUAGAAUUCGGACCUAACCAUUAAGUAAGAAGUGAUGGGAACGACGGAACUUGUGAAUGCAAAAGAUUCUAUUGAAAAAGGAAUCUUAAUGAUUCACUGGUCGGGAUGGCGGAACGAACCAUAGAUUCAUGUAUUCUGAGAUCUG
rnacentral:misc_RNA from 1 species